UCAAGCUCCUCUUUGCCUAGCAUCUAUGCGCUCUAUGCGCUCUCAGCUGAAGCUACUCGUGUCGCAGGGGAGGCGACCGUGGAGCUAUCCUCUUCUUAACUUUCUCUUAGAAGUUCCAGGAGUGACCCUCCGCACAAGAUUCAUGAUCCCCCAGCGAUCAUCCAGCCGAUCAAGCCGAGGACACUCCCGCCGUUCAGCAGGCAGGCUCCACCCGUUCCUGCAGAUCUUGAGCAUCUCCCAAGUCCUAAACACAUAGGACGCGAUGGUGCACCUGUGCCCGAUCCGGCCGGCAAGCCGAAGCUUGGCCACCAGUUUCCCUCGGCACAAAAUUUAUGA